rnacentral:rRNA from 1 species
UGGGGAAUUUUGGACAAUGGGCGAAAGCCUGAUCCAGCAAUGCCGCGUGUGUGAAGAAGGCCUUCGGGUUGUAAAGCACUUUUGUCCGGAAAGAAAUCCUUGGCUCUAAUACAGUCGGGGGAUGACGGUACCGGAAGAAUAAGCACCGGCUAACUACGUGCCAGCAGCCGCGGUAAUACGUAGGGUGCAAGCGUUAAUCGGAAUUACUGGGCGUAAAGCGUGCGCAGGCGGUUUGCUAAGACCGAUGUGAAAUCCCCGGGCUCAACCUGGGAACUGCAUUGGUGACUGGCAGGCUAGAGUAUGGCAGAGGGGGGUAGAAUUCCACGUGUAGCAGUGAAAUGCGUAGAGAUGUGGAGGAAUACCGAUGGCGAAGGCAGCCCCCUGGGCCAAUACUGACGCUCAUGCACGAAAGCGUGGGGAGCAAACAGGAUUAGAUACCCUGGUAGUCCACGCCCUAAACGAUGUCAACUGUUGUUGGGGAUUCAUUUCCUAGUAACGUAGCUAACGCGUGAAGUUGACCGCCUGGGGAGUACGGUCGCAAGAUUAAAACUU